rnacentral:rRNA from 1 species
CCUACGGGAGGCAGCAGUGGGGAAUAUUGCACAAUGGGGGAAACCCUUAUGCAGCGACGCCGCGUGAGUGAAGAAGUAUUUCGGUAUGUAAAGCUCUAUCAGCAGGAACGAGACAAGACGGUACCUGACUAAGAAGCCCCGGCUAACUACGUGCCAGCAGCCGCGGUAAUACGUAGGGGGCAAGCGUUAUCCGGACUCACUGGUUGUAACGGGAGCGUAGACGGCUGAGCAAGCCUGAAGUGAAAGGCGGGGGCCCAACCCCCGGACUGCUUUGGGAACUGUAGGGCUGGAGUGCAGGAGAGGUAAGUGGAAUGCCUAGUGUAGCGGUGAAAUGCGUAGAGAGUAGGAGGAACACCAGUGGCGAAGGCGGCUUACUGGACUGUAACUGACGUUGAGGCUCGAAAGCGUGGGGAGCAAACAGGAUUAGAUACCCCUGUAGUC